GACGAACGCUGGCGGCGUGCCUAACACAUGCAAGUCGAGCGAAUGAAGUUCCUUCGGGAACGGAUUUAGCGGCGGACGGGUGAGUAACACGUGGGCAACCUGCCUCAUAGAGGGGAAUAGCCUUCCGAAAGGGAGAUUAAUACCGCAUAAGAUUGUAGUACCGCAUGGUACAGCAAUUAAAGGAGCAAUCCGCUAUGAGAUGGGCCCGCGGCGCAUUAGCGAGUUGGUGAGGUAACGGCUCACCAAGGCGACGAUGCGUAGCCGACCUGAGAGGGUGAUCGGCCACAUUGGGACUGAGACACGGCCCAGACUCCUACGGGAGGCAGCAGUGGGGAAUAUUGCACAAUGGAGGAAACCCUGAUGCAGCAACGCCGCGUGAGUGAUGACGGCCUUCGGGUUGUAAAGCUCUGUCUUCAGGGACGAUAAUGACGGUACUUGAGGAGGAAGCCACGGCUAACUACGUGCCAGCCGCCGCCGUAA
rnacentral:rRNA from 1 species